rnacentral:tRNA from 1 species
AAAGUUAUAAGUUAAUCUCAAACUAUUAUCGUUCAAAGAUAAAAAUACUCGAGAAGUUAACUUUA